GGCUAAAGAAGAAAAACGUGACAUCACAGCUAACAGCAUUAGCACCCCACAGAAUUCAACGUGUUUGGAGAGACGUGUGGUGCGCAGGAACAAACAUAUACAACAAUGUGCUGCACUCAGGAGAGGACAACAGUUUGCUUGAGCUGUCAAACAUGUUGGAUAACUUCUGUUGUCACUAUUUAAUUAUCCCAAGACUACAACUAAGUUUUCAUACCAUCAGCAGUGGCUGAGAUGACCAUUCACUCAGAACUGAGAGGAAUCUGACACUCAGUCAGUUAUGGGAGAUGGGAAGCAUCCAGCAUGCUGUGGUAGAACCAGAAAUCACAAAAGGGACUCUGCCUGCCUCAUAUUGACAGUGGACUGCUGGA